GCUAUUUAAACCAGUGACAAAAACCUCGUCCUCCACUCCCUUAAAGCUUCUGCCUUUUUUUUAGUUGCAGAAUCUCACUCCCUCACUCUCUGUCUUUCUCUCUCUUAACUAAUAUCUACAAGUACAAACAUGCUUACCCUGAAUCUCAACAGUCCUUCCAUCACUGUCACUUUCUCCAAAUCCACCCAUCACUACCCCAUCAAUGCCUCCCCCUCUUCCCUCCCCAACACAAGAUUCCCCACCUCAUCUGCUCUGCUCCACACACCCACCAAGCGUUUCACCAGAAUCUAUGCCCACCCAUUUGGAUUCUCCUCAAAACCCACUUCCCAGAUCCAUGGUUUGAACCCAAAGUUCCCAUCUUUCUUCUCCUCCAAACCCAGAUCCCAAACCCCAAAAGCUUCUUCUGCAUCAGAAGCCAACCCCAAUGGAGAUAUUGAACCCACAGUUCCAAAGCCUAAAGUCACAACCGCCCAGCUUUCCUUAAUCUUUGGGCUCUGGUACUUCCAGAACAUUGUCUUCAAUAUCUACAACAAGAAGGCACUGAAUGUUUUCCCAUUCCCAUGGCUUCUUUUUAUGUGCACGUUUUUUAUUACUUUCGUUUUUAAGUCUUUGGUUUUGUGAUCAGCUAUCUCUAGAGAUGAUGAAGAAUCAAAUGAAAAUAUAAGGGAUUCUGGAAAUCCGGCCUCUCGGAAAACUAUUGACAAGCAUGAAUUUGACAGAGAGGAAGCAAUGCCACUUUUCUUGUACACUUACUCACACAAACCGUCUUUGUCCAAGGAUAAUGCGAAUUCAGCUUUAGUGCCUGUUCGUGAUGGUCUAUCAAUCCUUUCCAAAAGUCCAAAUCCCGCAUUUCAUUUCCAGGAAACUCGGAAGAACGGACGCAGUACCAGGAGAUCUGGGCAGAGUGGUGACUUUUUUUCACUCAUGAGACGAGCUAAACGAGCAAUGUGAAGGCUCUUAAAAGGCUCUGG